rnacentral:rRNA from 1 species
CACGUAGGGCGCAAGCGUUGUCCGGAAUUAUUGGGCGUAAAGAGCUCGUAGGCGGUCUGUUGCGUCCGCUGUGAAAACUCGGGGCUUAACCCCGAGCCUGCAGUGGAUACGGGCAGACUAGAGGUAGGUAGGGGAGAAUGGAAUUCCCGGUGUAGCGGUGAAAUGCGCAGAUAUCGGGAGGAACACCAACGGCGAAAGCACUCUGCUGGGCCGACACUGACACUGAGAGACGAAAGCUAGGGGAGCGAAUGGG